CUUUCAUGCUCAAUGGACGAGUGUUCCAAACUCUUCUACGAAUUUGCAAAAAGCGUCUGUAUCAACUUCAGUUACAAAACUACUGCGUGGAUAUAAUCCAGACGUCAAGGCACUGGACCAUUCGAUUGGUCUGUUGUCCACCGUAGACACUAAACGUUCGAACUUGACGGGCUCUCUGAAAGAGUACCCGUGGAUGAUGACCAAUACUGGGAGGGCCCACCUGUGUAUCAUGUUAGGCGGCCCAUAGAUGUUAUAUCUUUAGAAGGAUGGGGUGCCAUGUGGAGGGGUAUACGAUCAGGGUUAGUUCGUGAUUGUAUAUUUGGUGGUGUGUUUUUUUUCCAGCUGGCAAUUCACCGCGCGAUGCUCGACUGGAAAGCUGUUGGGAUGGACCCCAUACCAAGAUCGAUAAUGUUAGGCUUCAUCCAGAUGGAUCUUUAGUCAUUAUUCAGGAUCACUCACCGUCGCCAGGCUCCGUCGGUUUCAACCCCGUCUUUAUUGUGUUUGGUAACGGUGGUCCAAGUUCAGUGUUGGAAGGUGUGUGGAAUUUGGCAAACCGAUGUCAAUUCUUGCAUUGUGGCUGAACGAAUUAGUAGAAGGCAACAAGUUGAGCUCUUAAUCCCCCAGUUGCAGUUUCUUUGAUGAUCAAGGUGGAGUUAACUACAUCGGUAUCUACUUAUUUUUUGUUUACCGUCGAAUUGUUUGAUGAAGCUUAACACAUAUUACAAAAUCAAUGUUUUUAAUGUGGUAUGGCAUUUCGUCAAGAGGCAAUGCUAUUAUUCCUUGGUACUAAAGG